rnacentral:rRNA from 1 species
UACAGAGGUGGCAAGCGUUGUUCGGAAUUACUGGGCGUAAAGGGCGCGUAGGCGGCCAUCUAAGUCAGACGUGAAAUCCCCCGGCUUAACCUGGGAACUGCGUCUGAUACUGGACGGCUCGAGUUUGGGAGAGGGAUGCAGAAUUCCAGGUGUAGCGGUGAAAUGCGUAGAUAUCUGGAGGAAUACCGGUGGCGAAGGCGGCAUCCUGGACUAAUACUGACGCUGAGACGCGAAAGCUAGGGGAGCAAACGGG